rnacentral:rRNA from 1 species
GCGUAUACUAAAGUUGUUGCGGUUAAAAAGCUCGUAGUUGGAUCUAUGAAUGUGAACGCGAGGUCGCUUUAUUGAGUGAACUUUGUGGCGCAUUCUUCCCUUUGGUCGGUGUGUUCGUGCUCUUAAUUGAGUGCGACAUGCUACCAGAAAUUUUACCUUGAAAAAAUUAGAGUGUUCAAAGCAGACCUUUUUGUGUCUGAAUAUUCGUGCAUGGAAUAAUAAAAUAUGAAUUCGGUUCUAUUUUAUUGGUUUUCGGAACUCGAGUUAAUGAUUAAGAGGGACAGACGGGGGCAUCCGUACUCUGCCGUUAGAGGUGAAAUUCUUGGAUCGGCGGAAGACGCGCAACUGCGAAAGCAUUUGCCAAGAAUGUUUUCUUUAAUCAAGAACGAUAGUCGGAGGUUCGAAGACGAUCAGAUACCGUCCUAGUUUCGACUGUAAACUAUGCCAGCUAACGAUCAGACAGCGUUCUCUACGACUUGUCUGGCAGUUUCCGGGAAACCAAAGCUUUUGGGUUCCGGGGGAAGUAUGGUUGCAAAGCUGAAACUUAAAGGAAUUGACGGAAGGGCACCACCAGGAGUGGAGCCUGCGGCUUAAUUUGACUCAACACGGGGAAACUCACCCGGCCCGGACACAGUGAGGAUUGACAGAUUGAGAGUUCUUUCUUGAUUCUGUGGGUGGUGGUGCAUGGCCGUUCUUAGUUGGUGGAGCGAUUUUGUCUGGUUAAUUCCGAUAACGAACGAGACUCUCGCAUGUUAAAUAGUCGCGGGAGUAAUUUUAACUCACCAUGAGACUUCUUAGAGGGACAAGUGAUUCUAUCACACGAGAUUGAGCAAUAACAGGUCUGUGAUGCCCUUAGA